rnacentral:tRNA from 1 species
UCCCUGAUGGCUCAGCAGUUAAAGAAUCUGCCUGCAAUGCAGGAGACCCAGGUUCAAAUCCUGGGUGGAGAA